CCCAUCUCCUGUCAUGUGAUGUGUCUUUUUUUUCUUUCAAAGGUGAAUGUGGGACUGAUAGAAGAAACUCUCCAUGAAGGUGAUAUUUUCCUUCUACUGCUAAAUGUCAAUAUGGGACUGCUCUGCAAGACGUUAUCCUUCAAACAGGUGAUGAUGUUUCUACUUGAGGAUGAGAAAAAUUACUUUAACUCCAUGAAUUCUUCGCAUUGUACAUUAGUGG